GAAAGAGUCCAGGCCACCAGAGGAAGCCGUUCCUCCAUGACCAGCGGAUGGGGUAGUCCCAUCAGGUUCCUGAGGAUGGUCGCAGUAUCUGGUAGGAGGAGGGGAUCUCUGUUCGACAGUUUCAGAAGAGGCGUGAUGAGGGUCAGCAUCACCCUCUGUAUGCGUAUCCGGUGAAGAACCCUCGUAAUCAUUGAGAAUGGCGGGAAUGCGUAAGCUCCAUAUUGUGGCCAUUGUUGUAGAAAAGCGU